UUAACCUGGUUGAUCCUGCCAGUAGUCAUAUGCUUGUCUCAAAGAUUAAGCCAUGCAUGUCUAAGUAUAAACAUCUAUACAGUGAAACUGCGAAUGGCUCAUUAAAUCAGUUAUCGUUUAUUUGAUAGUACCUUGCUAAUUGGCAUACGCCUGGCAAUUCUAGAGCUAAUACAUGCACACAAGCCCAACCUCCGGAAGGGCUGUAUUUAUUAGAUAAAAAAUCAACACUCCAGGAUUCAUAAUAACUUGUCGAAUCGCAGGGCCUCGGGCCGGCGAUGGUUCAUUCAAAUUUCUGCCCUAUCAACUUUCGAUGGGGAUAGAGGCCUACCAUGGUUUCAACGGGUAACGGGGAAUAAGGGUUCGGUUCCGGAGAGGGAGCCUGAGAAACGGCUACCACAUCCAAGGAAGGCAGCAGGCGCGCAAAUUACCCAAUCCCGACACGGGGAGGUAGUGACAAUAAAUAACGAUACAGGGCCCUUUCGGGUCUUGUAAUUGGAAUGAGUACAAUGUAAUACUAGG
rnacentral:rRNA from 1 species